GCAAAUAAUACAUGAAGAUUCAUUUUUUCUAUUUUUCAGAAUAAUCAUUUUUAUCUUUUUUUCGUCAUGAUGAAGGCGCUUCUAUUGGACAUGUUAAAAUGGUUACAUUAAAAUUUUGAUUUCAGGAAAAAAAACAUUUUAAACGUGGCAAAUUCUAUUCAUAGUACAGAUAUAUAAAUAUCUUUGUAAUAUAAGAAGAAUUAUACCCAAAGACCUGGGAAAACGUAUAUUUAGGUUUACUACAUGGAUGGAUCUGGAAGAUACUGAAGGUGGCUGGAUGGAACGGAUGGUUUUAAGUGUGACACACCGCGUCCCGGUGCACACAGAAAACAUGUCGCUUAUGUAAUGACAAAAGAACGAAACGCGUAAGGAGAUAUUGUUAGGACGCUUAGCGGCGUGUCGCGUGCGGGGAAGGGGAGGGGGGGAUGAGGGCGCGCGCCCCGUCUUCCCGGUGACGCAGCCUGUCCGUCUCCUCCGCCGUCUCGCGGCGCCACCCACCCCGCUCGCGCUCGAACUGCUGGAUUGCCGUCGCGCGGGACAGCCACGCCGAGAGCCGGAGCGCUAGUUCCACGGACAUGUGGGUUUCAUUUCGCACAGAAGAUAGUGACCUGAGGUCCACUAGGGGCUGUUUGCCAUGGGAUGACAGCAUUCCACACACUGAUCGCACACUUGGAGACCACAUCAGCAGGGCUUGGACUGUGUAUCACCAUCCAGAGUGCUAAGGACUGCUUUCUUCCUCCCAGUGCUUUCCACAAGGUACAAAUGUUCUAGAAGCAGUGGGUUGCAUUGUGGUAAUGCUUUUUUUUUGCAACAUGAAAGGGACCGUGAUCUAUUUUGAUCAAGCAAAAUAUCCAGCUGUACAAAUCACAUUCUGCUUUGGAUAACCAUGUUGUCAAUAUACUGUAAUGAUAGUCCAGUCAUGCACCGCUUAACGACUGACUGCGUGUAUGAUGGUGGUCCCAUCAGGUUAUAAUGGACCUGAUUCCGAUCGACUAGUGACGUCAUAGCGCAGCGUGUUCCUCACGGGUUUGUAGUGGUGCUGAUGUAAACAAAUCUACUGUGCUGCCAGA
rnacentral:lncRNA from 1 species